UACGGAGGGUGCGAGCGUUGUUCGGAAUCACUGGGCUUAAAGGGAGCGUAGGCGGGCUAUCAAGUCUGGGGUGAAAUCCCGCGGCUCAACCGCGGAACUGCCUCAGAUACUGACGGCCUCGAGGGAGAUAGGGGCAUGCGGAACUGUAGGUGGAGCGGUGAAAUGCGUUGAUAUCUACAGGAACUCCGGUGGCGAAAGCGGCGUGCUGGAUCUCUUCUGACGCUGAGGCUCGAAAGCUAGGGGAGCAAACGGG
rnacentral:rRNA from 1 species